AGAGUUUGAUCAUGGCUCAGGAUGAACGCUAGCGGGAGGCCUAACACAUGCAAGCCGAGCGGUAGAGAUUCUUCGGGAUCUUGAGAGCGGCGUACGGGUGCGGAACACGUGUGCAACCUACCUUUAUCUGGAGGAUAGCCUUUCGAAAGGAAGAUUAAUACUCCAUAAUAUAUUGAUUGGCAUCGAUUGAUAUUGAAAGCUCCGGCGGAUAGAGAUGGGCACGCGCAAGAUUAGCUAGUUGGUGAGGUAACGGCUCACCAAGGCGAUGAUCUUUAGGGGGCCUGAGAGGGUGAUCCCCCACACUGGUACUGAGACACGGACCAGACUCCUACGGGAGGCAGCAGUGAGGAAUAUUGGUCAAUGGGUGCAAGCCUGAACCAGCCAUCCCGCGUGAAGGACGACUGCCCUAUGGGUUGUAAACUUCUUUUGUAUAGGGAUAAACCUACCCUCGUGAGGGUAGCUGAAGGUACUAUACGAAUAAGCACCGGCUAACUCCGUG
rnacentral:rRNA from 1 species